UUGCUCCUUAAGAAAGUGGCGCACGGGUGCGUAACGCGUAUGCAACCUACCUUAAUCAGGGGGAUAGCCCGAAGAAAUUCGGAUUAACACCGCAUAAAAACACAGGAUAGCAUUAUCCAAUGUUCAAAUAUUUAUAGGAUUAAGAUGGGCAUGCGUGUCAUUAGCUAGUUGGCGGGGUAACGGCCCACCAAGGCGACGAUGACUAGGGGAUCUGAGAGGAUGACCCCCCACACUGGUACUGAGACACGGACCAGACUCCUACGGGAGGCAGCAGUAAGGAAUAUUGGUCAAUGGAGGCAACUCUGAACCAGCCAUGCCGCGUGCAGGAAGACAGCCCUAUGGGUCGUAAACUGCUUUUAUCUGGGAAUAAACCUUUCUACGUGUAGAGAGCUGAAUGUACCAGAAGAAUAAGGAUCGGCUAACUCCGUGCCAGCAGCCGCGGUAAUACGGAGGAUCCAAGCGUUAUCCGGAUUUAUUGGGUUUAAAGGGUGCGUAGGCGGCAGUUUAAGUCAGAGGUGAAAGACGGUAGCUCAACUAUCGCAGUGCCUUUGAUACUGAAUUGCUUGAAUGAACUAGAGGUAGGCGGAAUGAGACAAGUAGCGGUGAAAUGCAUAGAUAUGUCUCAGAACACCGAUUGCGAAGGCAGCUUACUAUGGUUUUAUUGACGCUGAGGCACGAAAGCGUGGGGAUCAAACAGGAUUAGAUACCCUGGUAGUCCACGCCCUAAACGAUGAAUACUCGCUGUUAGCGAUAUACAGUUA
rnacentral:rRNA from 1 species